ACACAGCCUGUUUGUAGCACCUCCUGCACUGGCACUGAUGUGUUCACAGGUCAGCACUGCAGCCAUAGCUGCUGUCAGCCCGUACAUGGUCUCACAAGAGGCUCACAACAUCCUCCAUGUUGAUGCAUGGAUUCUUCUCCUGCAAAAUUUCUGAUCCCAGCUGCAGAGCCCACAUCCCUGUGAGCCUUCUGCUGCAGCUGUGAUGCUGUCACCCCUAACCUCAUGCUUUGCUUUACCACAAAGUUCUGAAUCCUGCUGCUUCUUCACCAGGAGAAGUUUCAUCUCACCUGAGCUCUGCUCUGGUGCUCUUGAAACUUUGCUUCAGCUCUUCCUAGAGCCUGAAAGUGAGUCAGGACCUGCUUCAGUGAUCUCCAUCAGCAAUCACCACUGAGAGAUACACUUUGAUUCUGUUGAACUUUCAGUUCCAGGUGCAGCACGGUGCCAAUGACUGCAGUGGGGUUCUUCCAGGAAAUGGUGAAAUAGGCACCUGAGGGUAGGGAGGCAGAUUUGCAAACAGUCUGUAUAGUGGAAGCAUAUCCAUUGGAGCUCCGAAGAAGUGAAGCAGUGCUCAUCUCAAUGAGGAGCUGCAAUCUCUUCCCAUUAAAUAGCUUCUGGGAAAAUUGCUAAAUUCUUCCCUCUUAGGGGAUGUCCAGGGGCAGGUGGAUUCUGAAGCUAUGCAGAUCCACCAGGAGGGCAAGUGGCGUUUCUUGCGUGCUCUGGAGCAGUGAGAAGCAUGGCAGCCCUGUCACUUUCUUGCUGAGCAUCAAGGUGGUGUGUGCAGCUUUGCCCCAGCACAAGCAGGUAAAGCAGAGGGAUCUCCACCCCAUCCUUCUGAAUUGAGUCCUGGGUAAUUUUUUCCUUUGUGUAUAAUGCUUUUGUCUGCCCCUCAUGUCAUGCUGGUUGGCAGUGAUCUCAAGAUAACCAGGAACAAUACAGUUUUCCUCACCCACGGGUGUGGCAAAUAAACAAAUGAGGUAUUGGGACACCUCAGCAAGUGCCCUGGUCCCUGGCACGGGGCCACUAAGGCCUUCUCGCCCUGCCCACCCCACCUGGGGUUCCCUGGUGACUGGGGGAAGCCUCACAUUGCUCCAAGAUGCUACAGCUACACACAGGGCCCGACCUGAAGGAUCUCCUGCAGGCAAUCCCAGCCCAACACCAUCUCCUCUCACCCUGGUUGUGCAUAUGAUGAUGGGACCUAGGUUUUCAAGAAACAUGUAGGUGUGACACUGAGGGACAUGGUUUAGCGGCCACUGUGGUGAUGGGUUGGACUAGAUGAUCUUAGAGGUCUUUUCCAGUCUUACUGAUUUUAUGACUCUAUAAUUCAAUGAUUCUAUGAUUGCAUGGCUGCGUGCUGAGGUGUCCAAAAAGGAGCUAGCCAUAGGAGAUGGUUGGGGGCUCAGUGCUUGCAGUGCGGUGUGCUUGCAGGAUUGGCAGCAGCGGUGUGUACUGGCUGUGUGCCUGUUUUCAUUGUACUCACACAGCUGAAAGGAUUAGAGUUUCUACUGAUUUUCUGGGGUGACUGACUAUAGCUCAGAGAGGGUUGUUCCAGAUGAAAACAGUCCUGGAACACGUUAUUACAGCUCUGCAGCCAGUCUGGGCUCUUGCCUAGCCUGCCUGCCCCACACCGCUGUAGGUUUAGCUCCCUGCUCAGGGACCCCUGCACUGAGAGGUGAUCAGUUUCCAUCCACACCCCUAUUCCUCCUCUGUCUCCAGUGCACCACCACAGCAGUGGGGAACAACCUCGAUUUUGGGAGACCUCCCACAUGGGUGGGGAAUGGCCAAAGGGACAGGCAUAGGAGCCCAGCCUUUUCCUGGAGCACCCUCAAUGCCUUGCUUUCUGCCCUCUGCUUUGCUCAUUAAUCACAAUGCAAUCUUUUUCCUGAAAGGAAGGCCCAAAUGAGUCCAGCUGUUGGUUAUUCCUGGUCUCUGUGUUGUUGAUCCUAGGGGAGAUGUCAUAGUUGGCAGCAAUCCCACAUCGAGCAGAGGCACUGCAGAGGAAAUGAAAUGAAUCUUAUUGGUUUCCAAAGGAUAUAAGAUGUUUUCCAACCAGUUAGUUUACCUUGUUUCACUCUUCCCUUUCCUGUGAAGAUCAUUUUACCCUCUUUUCGGGUCAAGGCUCUACCAGCAGCUCCAGCACUGAAGCAGCUUCAAGAUACCAGCUCUUUCUUGUGCCAAAUGUAGGAACAAAUAAGAAUGCACAUAAUGAAGUUUUCCUUACCUGUCUUCUUCCUACAGUGUAGUACCUACAAUUUGACCUACCUGUGAAUCAUAGAAUAUCUCAAGUUGGCUGGAAUCCAUAUGCACUGAGUCCAAUUCCUGAAGAGUGAAGUUGUCAGGAAGGACCAUGAAGUGAUAAAAUAAGAGCAAACGUAUCAUACAUGCAUACAAUCAUUUCUAUAUGCAAAAAUGAGUAUACAAGAACUUAUGUCUUCCACCUUCUAUCAGAGUUCUAUUCAGCAGUGUUUGUCUGUUUGUUUGCUUUAUGAGGUGCUGCUCCAGUGCUAUGACGGUGAAAGUCAGAGCUUUGGCUGAGAAGAAAGAGCCCAUGCUGGCCAGUGGGAGGAGUUCUGGGCUCUGCUGAUGUCAGUGCCUGCUCCUUGCAUGGAAAAGAUGCAACAUGUGUAAGAUAAGUGAGUCAGCCUGGGUCAGGCCCAGAGCCAGUGAUUGCUGAGCUCUCUUCCCAGCUCUGCUACUGAUUUGCUUGCUGGCCUCAGUGGGUUUGUCAGGCCAGAAGUAUGGCAUUGCGUGUGCAGGCUGCCCCUGAGGACAGCAGUUGAUUUCUCAUCAUCCAUCAUUUCUCACAGCUUCCUGAAAUAUCAGCCCAUCUUCGUCGCCUCCCUGCUUUUCCACCUGAUUAAUGGAAGUAACUCUGCAGACGCAUCCCAGUACUGUGCAAACAGAUGAGACAGACUUUGCCAAGGCACAUGUGCAAACAUUGGGCCCUCGACUGUAGAACAGACAAGGGUGAGCUACUGAGACUCCAGCUACAGAAGCACUGAGCUCCAUGUGGCUGGCUUUACCUUGUUGAACAUUUUUGGCCUGCUGCUGUUUCCCCAUCAAUAGCUACAUUUUCACAUCUGUCACUCAGCCAAGCCUUAAUCCAGGUGGUGUGUGCCCUAUUCAUCCUGCAUAAUGUGAGCUCAUUAAUCAAGCUGUCAUGUGGUGGAGAAAGCCAAGAGUACUGUGUCAACCAGAUCUCUAAUCUUGUCUGAAAAAAUAGACAACAGGUUUAUCUAACAAGACUUACCUUCCACGAAACCCAGCUGAUUAGUGCUGCUUUUAUUUUUAGCCUCUAAUUCCUUGUUGUUGGAGGCCUGACUUAACGUCUGGUGAGUUUGUCAAGGGAUGCUGCCCUGCUAAAGAGCCGAUUGCUCCCCACAGUGUCCCACUGAGGCUUUUGAAGACCCAGAUCAGCCCUGGCACUCUCCCAUGUCUUUAGAAUUUCCCCAGAUUUGUAAAUAUAAAACUUCACCAAGUGCUUUAGCUAGUUCCUUAAGACACAAAGAUAGCCAGACCAGAUGAUGUGAAAAACAUUUAAUUUUAGCAGAUGCUGCCUCACAUCCUCCUUUGUUCCAGAUGGUAAAUGCUCUACUCCAUCCGCAACAUCAUAUGGGAUGAAUAUCCUGAUCCCUUCCAAAUGCAGAGGAGAAAUAGCUAUUGAACAUUUCUGCCUUUUUUGCAACAUUGUUUAUGAUUUUACCAUCUGCAUUUAGCAAUUGGCCUAUACUGCCACAGGGAUGUGUUUGGGAGAGCAAGCAGCAUUGUUCCUAACAGGAUUUUUGGAAUGCUUUCUACAUUUCUUUAACUCGACUGGCAGUUGAUAGUCUAUUAAUCCUUUGGUUUCCUUUUAUCAAUCCCUUGCAUUGUUUUAGCUUGUAGUUUACAAUCAUUGCCAUUCUGUUUCCUCUUUCCUUUUUCCCUGCUUUUUACAUUGCUUCUUUAAGUUAUAUUGUUCUUUCUAUAUCUUUUUCUUAACAGGCUGUUUCUUACCCUACAGAUCUAUUUUCCAUCUCCAUCUACAUCCAGCAGAGUAUUCUUGGCUAAGUUCCAGUUUUCAUUUACACUUCUUAUUUAACAUUUAUGUUUCCAGCCUACUGUGCCAGCUUUAAAUUUGUGCAUGCAGACACAUACAUACACAAAACUGAGACCUAAGGGGACCACAAAAACAAACAAACAAAAAAAAAAAAAAACAGUCGUGGUAACAUUAACUUGUAUGAAUUGGGAACACCAAAGAACAGGAUUGGCAAUGCGUUGUAAUGACCCUGACAUGGGAGAGUGCAUUUAGCCCACCCUCGGUACGGUGAGCAUGCCUUCAGUCAUGUCAUAACUAAAAAAAGUCAGUGAUCUGUGUCCCCAGGAUGGUGCUCUCUGCUGCUCCGCAGAGGUCUCAGUUCCAUCAGUCACAGUGAAGUAAUGUGAUGCACCAGCCUCUGUCUCCAAGAACUGACGAAGUUCGUCAGCCUGUGCUUGGGAUUCUGACAAUGAUACAUGUUUCUCAGGUCUGCUGACUUCAGCAAGGGCACCAGCAUCACUUGGAUUCUCUCUUGCAGAAGCUGUGGCUAGAAAUUUGACCACAAGGUCACAAGGACUUUGCCCCUCGGCUACUAAAGUUUCACUGGCAGGAACCCAAUCUCCAGCGCAAUCUCUUCCACUCCUAGCAGGCCAUGCACUUGUCUAUGGCUUAACUGUUGUUACUCCACCACAAGCUUUGCCCAAUCCUCCACCUCCAAGAUACCAUCUUUAUGGACAAACCCAGAUGUCUGAAGCAGCCAAAGAUGGUGAUGAAGCAGUGUUUGUCCAGCACUGCAGCCAUGGAGACCCUCCUCUCCACACCAGGCAGCAACAUCCUCUCCAUUUGGGUUUUGGGUUCAAUCUUGUGUGCACUCCUGAAUACAGAGAUGUGUGUUUAUGUUCACAGAUGUGAACAGAUGCACUGCAUGCAUAGGCUGACAAUUAGUGUUCUAAUCUACAUGCAUGAGAUAAAUCUAAUUUGAUUAUGAUCUGUGGUACAACAGCAACUCCUAAUUUUCAGUGAUUAGUCCUUCCAAUUCAGCAAGAAGGAGGCUCUCUUUUGGGUUACUGUGCACAGUCUAAGGAACAAGCCUCUAUUUGUUUUUUCAGUUCCAGGGAGCUGCUGUUAGCUGGCUGAAGUGACCAAACUAACAGUGCACUGAUUAAAAAUCCUGGUGGGGUUUCCUCCUCUGAGACAUGAAGAAGUGACUGAGGACUGAAUGCGCUGUUCUGUUGUGCAACGAGGUGGUCUUUUCACAGCUGCCCAUCAGUAUCUCAUUUCCAGUUUUAUUAAUUAGAACUUCACUCCAUAAAUCACAUCUCAUGGCUUGCAGUACCAGAAGGAGGACAUUUCCUGCUGGUAUGGGGCACUAAUGCAGUAUAGGCUUUCAGGGCUUGGCAGACAUUCAGUUCCCAGUCCUGGUGCAGAAGCACAGAGAUCGCAGGGGCUGACCCUGCACCUCUACAACCGACCUUAACAGGCAGCCCAAACUGAUGGUCAUGCUGUUAGAUGUGUUCAAAUCAAGAAGACAAGAUGAGUUAAGAGCAGUGGGAGAGGAGGAAUUCAGGCAGUCUCUCGGAUGUGCCUGUUACACUCUUGUCUCAUUGCCCAGGACAGCUAGGUAGGGUUGAGGUUGAGUUUCUGUAUGCUUUUUGGGUUGAACAUUUACCUGUGCUUAACAUCUGUGUGACACUAGCUGCUGUGUUCCCCGGUGCAGUGUCCCACACAGCCUUCUCAGUAGUACAGUAAACAGUUACUUUGUCUUUUGUCUUUAUUAGUCCCCUAGGAGAUAAUAUUGCCUUUGCUUAUGACCCUAUGCUCUUGCUGGUACAGCUGUCUUCCUGCCAGAGCACGUAUUAGUUCCUGAGCUCAGAGUGCGCACAAUGUGUUUUGUUAUGUGUUGACACAGACACACACACUGCUUCACCCUCGUGACGUGGCUCUCUGAGAGCUGAGGGCUGGGUGCCAGGUGGCUGUGGGGCUUUCACGGGAUCCAGAAUAUUUCAGAAGGUCUCCCUGCAAGUCAGAGCUGAGUUUGGAGGGACAGCAGGGUAAGAGCAGGAAAAAAAAUAAAAAUAAAAGAAAAGCAAUUUACAAAGUUAAACGUAGUGACUUGAGUGAUUGUGAGCUUUCCCAGGGCAGAGGACAGACCUUGCCCAACCACGGGGCCCAUCCUGAGAACAGAGAGUACCUGAGCUGCCGAGUCCUGGGCAGCAGGUACAGAGAGCAGAGACGAGCGCUCUCAGGGGAUCAACGCUGACUUCGUCCAGGGAGCCCGGCUGCCUACAAAGUAGCUUAAAAGGUUAUCCUAGGUAAAAAGAAGCAAACAAAGCAAACUUGUGGGCUUGUUUCCGUGGAUACUUGUCUGGAAGUGGAGGCAUCCUUUAGAAGUCUUCGUAGCCUCAGUGCCACAGAUUGUUAUGAAUCACUUGGGACAAAUAUAUCCUCAAAGCAACAAUGACUUUUUAGUCCAUUUUCUUUGCAAAGGAAGGCGUGGCUGGAGAGCCUGGAAGGGUGUUUCAUAGCUGGAAGGGCUGAAAGUCUGGAGCCAAACCUUGAGGAUGAUGUCUGUGGGGAAAGAAAUUGAGACCCCGUGUCUAAAUCUCAAAAACUGCUUUGAUUAGUCAAAAUAUUCAUCUUCCAUGACGGAAUAAGAGCCUUACUGUUAAAGCUUUGCCACCAGGACCUAUGGAUGUGAGCAGCGAGCAAGGCUUGCAUUUUGCACGUGGCUGAGUUUUACUGCAGUGAGUAAAAAAAUUCAAAUCCUGAUGGCUGAGUUUGAUAACAGGAACUACCACGCCUGGGUGCUGAAUAUGGGAAGAGUCAGACUCCUGCCCUGGGCUCACACAGCUCUGCCCUCGAUGGAGAGCCCAGGGCGGCACUUUACUUACACAAAGUGCUGAUGCCAACAAAUACCAUAAUAGUGGAAGUAACUUUAACAAAGCACUGCUGGCUAGCACAGCACUUCUGAACUCAAGUUC